GGCUUCAUAUAGGGUAGCAUGAGGCAGGUCCUUCACUCAUUGCCUCGCCGUCUGCCCAGCAGCUGGAGAGUAAGGUGGUUCCUGUGAUAGUGAGGUUUUCAGUAAAGAAAUAAGAAAAAGCUUCUACUAGACUCGUUGUUUGCACUGUGUUGCUGGACCGCGAACAGGAAUUGAUCUCCAACUGGAAGUGACAUCCGGAAUCCGGGACUCUUGAGUACAAGUGGAAAAACUAGAGAUAUUUCUGAAAGGAAAACUUUGUGCAACUGAGUUGACCGUCUUGAUUUGCCGAAGAAGUUGUGGCAAUAGUUUUUCUCUUAGAAACUGUUUUGUAAAAAGAGUUUGUUCUUCGCGAGACAAAGAAAUAGCGGAGAAUAUUCUGACUGCAUAACUCGAAGAGUGUCUCGUCCAUAUACUUCGGUUGCAAAAGUUCAAGACACAAUGGCCAACAGUCACAUGUUUGUAUGGAGUAUCAUACUACUCAUAGCCACAGGGAGCAUGAACAGAUGGUCAAGCCUCACGACUUCGGCAGCUUCUGCAGAAGCACAGGAGGGCAGAUCAGUUGAUCUCCCGGCAGAAGACAGCUCCGAGGAACUCCUGCAGGAGGAUACCUCCACAGAGGACCUGGCGACUGAUACUUCUUCUGAGGACCAAACGCGGAACGCCAGAUCAGUCUUGGGACCGAUGAGUUUCCACAGCGAACUCCAGGACGACUUGCCCUUGGCUGGGAACCUUGGCUUGCCCUCAAGGAAACUGUCUUUGAGAAGAAAGCGGCGAUCUGGCGUGGUGAUCCGAGGGCCCUUCUACCCAUACCCAAGACCAGGUCAUCCCUUGAGGUUCACGAGUGGCACCCCUGGGAUGCUGUCAUCAUCCUGGUUAACAGCCAUUGUCUGUUCUGGCCUGGCUGUGAACCUGGUCACUUUCUGGAGAACGUGAAGAGGAGGAAGAACAACGCUCCAGAUCUGUAAACUGAACUGAAACGUUCGAAGUUCAGUGACUGUAUCAAUAUACCUCAGCACUCGCAUCACUCAACCUCAUAAAUUCAUCAAUUGGUUUCAUAUUUGACUGAUCAUUUACUAGGUUAAAUGAGUGUUAAUUUAUUUUGCUGUUUGAUACGGCACACUCGGUUAAUUAUUAGUUCAAGCGCUAAUUUAUUUCAUGUCUAAUGGGGUACAUUCAGUAAAUUACUUAAUAAAAUGCUAAUUUAUCUGUUGAGUCUCUCAAAAUGGAAGACUUCGUCUUGAUAAGAUAAUAAUAAAGUUACGAGUGACUUAAGGUACAAGCCAGAAAAAUCUUCGAGCUCAUUCUGAAGCCCGACUGUUAUACCACGCCUCCAGAUCAGGAAUGGGCGAUUCUCAAGCUACCAUGAACCUCGUACAGCUUGCCAAGAAAAGCACAGGGAGGUUCGAAGUCCUGCAUGUGAAAUUAUCCAAGCAUUCUCAAUUGAAAGAUGAGACCUCUCGCGCUUUGGAUGAAUCAGCUUCUCAGUCGACGUCUAGUUUCGUUCAACAGCCUCGUUUGAUUUAACUGAUAGUACGUAACUUUUUGAACGGCAAUAGUUUUGCUUGCAUCAUGGCUAUUCAGCUUCUGUAUCAUUUUCUCUGGGAUGACGGUAAAUUCGGCUCUCUCUCUCUCUUUUGUAUUUAGUUCUUCGUCUUGCACAAUGUUAUAUUUAUAAGACGACGUCCCCUUAAUCAAUUCUGUAACUACACAUAAAAUAUUUUUUUAGUGUUUUAUGUUCACUACUUAAUUUCACUUUUGGCAUUCUUUUUAGAUUUUUAAGUUAUUAAUGUAUGUGAUUUGCAACAACUUUUGCUAUAGAUUUGAAUGUUCAAUACACCAAACUUAUUUUAUUUAUUAUGAUUUGCAUUUUAAGCUAAUCAUCUUCUAAGUUAUUUAUGACCAUUUUUUCAUUACACUGUUAUACUUCAUUAGAAUGAAGAUUUCAUUAGGACAUAAUUUCAAGUAAUUUGGUAAUGGUUUCUUAUGUGAUUAGGCACUGUGUAGCCUAAUUAAUAACAAUGUUACUGACAACAAUUGCAUCAUAUCAAAUUAUUCAACUUAAAACCCAUUUAAACUCAAUUUACAGUACCACUUCCGUCCAAUUGAUCUUCAGUUUUCAUUGUGUAAAGAUAAAAUAAAAAAAACCUUAUCCCUUCUCCAAAUAUUGUAGCAUCAAUCCUCCCCCGCCUUUUCCCAACAGCAUCUGACGUGUAAUAGAAUAAUGCUUCUGAGCAUAACGCUGACGGAGGUCUAGAGCUUGCCGCUGACAGUGAUUGUUUUUAUUUUUCGUUACCAUGUAGCAUUAAGAGGCGUUGCAUAAAUACUUCUAUUUAUUUAUAAUAAUAACCAUGUAUAAGUAUUAAAAUAUUUUCAAGGAA